GCAGCCGCCACGGUAACACGUAGGGUGCGAGCGUUAAUCGGAAUUACUGGGCGUAAAGCGUGCGCAGGCGGUUCGUUAAGACAGAUGUGAAAUCCCCGGGCUUAACCUGGGAACUGCAUUUGUGACUGGCGAGCUAGAGUAUGGCAGAGGGGGGUAGAAUUCCACGUGUAGCAGUGAAAUGCGUAGAGAUGCGGAGGAACACCGAUGGCGAAGGCAAUCCCCUGGACCUGUACUGACGCUCAUGCACGAAAGCGUGGGGAGCAAACAGGAUUAGAUACCCCGGUAGUCCCUGUCUCUUAUAC
rnacentral:rRNA from 1 species